rnacentral:rRNA from 1 species
GUGUUCCAGGAUAAGCCAUGCACGUCUAAGUACAAACUGAAUGAUGGUGAAACUGCAAAUGGCUCAAAACAACGGUUACGAUGUACCCGGGAGUCCCGAUGGAUAUUUCCAGUAACACUAGAACUAAUACAUGUCCCUGCGUUUAUUAGUUUCGCACAGUCCGUCGCUGAGUCAUGGUAAACAGUUGAUCGACUCGACGUCCCGGAACAGUUUCCGCCCCAUCAGCUUCGAUGGUUGGGUAUUGGCCUACCAUUGCAACAACGGGUAACGAGGAAUUAGGGUUUGAUUUCGGAGAGGGAGCCUGAGAAACGACUACCACAUCUACGGAUGGCAGCAGGCGCGCAAAUUACCCAAUGCAGACACUGUGAGGUAGUGACGAGAAAUAAUAAAGCGGGACUUCUGUUUCGCUAUUAUAAUGAGGAAUAACCAAAGGUCAUUCCGAUUAGGAACUGAUGGGAAAGUCUGGUGCCAGCAGCCGCGG